AGUGAACGCUGGCGGUAGGCCUAACACAUGCAAGUCGAACGGCAGCACAGUAAGAGCUUGCUCUUACGGGUGGCGAGUGGCGGACGGGUGAGGAAUACAUCGGAAUCUACUUUUUCGUGGGGGAUAACGUAGGGAAACUUACGCUAAUACCGCAUACGACCUACGGGUGAAAGCAGGGGAUCUUCGGACCUUGCGCGAUUGAAUGAGCCGAUGUCGGAUUAGCUAGUUGGCGGGGUAAAGGCCCACCAAGGCGACGAUCCGUAGCUGGUCUGAGAGGAUGAUCAGCCACACUGGAACUGAGACACGGUCCAGACUCCUACGGGAGGCAGCAGUGGGGAAUAUUGGACAAUGGGCGCAAGCCUGAUCCAGCCAUACCGCGUGGGUGAAGAAGGCCUUCGGGUUGUAAAGCCCUUUUGUUGGGAAAGAAAAGCAGCAGGUUAAUACCCCGCCGUUCUGACGGUACCCAAAGAAUAAGCACCGGCUAAUUUCGUG
rnacentral:rRNA from 1 species